AGAACGAACGCUGGCGGCAUGCCUAACACAUGCAAGUCGAACGCUUUGCCGGUUUCGGCCGGCAAGGAGUGGCGCACGGGUGAGUAGCGCGUGGGAACCUGCCCUGUUGUGGGGGAUAACCGAGGGAAACUUCGGCUAAUACCGCAUAAGCCGGUUGUCUUGAAAGAGAUGGCCGGGAAAGAUUUAUCGCGACAGGAGGGGCCCGCGUCGGAUUAGCUAGUUGGCGGGGUAACGGCCCACCAAGGCUGUGAUCCGUAGCUGGUCUGAGAGGAUGAUCAGCCACACUGGGACUGAGACACGGCCCAGACUCCUACGGGAGGCAGCAGUGGGGAAUAUUGGACAAUGGGCGCAAGCCUGAUCCAGCAAUGCCGCGUGAGUGAUGAAGGCCUUAGGGUUGUAAAGCUCUUUCGCCCGCGACGAUGAUGACGGUAGCGGGAGAAGAGCCCGGCUAACUUCGUGCCAGCAGCCGCGGU
rnacentral:rRNA from 1 species